rnacentral:rRNA from 1 species
UACGUAGGGGGCAAGCGUUGUCCGGAAUCAUUGGGCGUAAAGCGCGUGUAGGCGGUUCGGUAAGUCCGCUGUGAAAUCCCUCGGCUUAACCGAGGAACUGCCCUCCAAACUGCUUCGCUUGAGACCGGGAGAGGUGAGUGGAAUUCCCAGUGUAGCGGUGAAAUGCGUAGAUAUUGGGAGGAACACCAGUGGCGAAGGCGGCUCACUGGACCGGUACUGACGCUGAAGCGCGAAAGCGUGGGGAGCGAUCCGG